CCAAUAGCGUAUAUUAAAGUUGUUGCAGUUAAAAAGCUCGUAGUCGGACCUCGGGCGUGUUGGACGCACGCGGCUGUGCCGUGUGGCGUCUGGACAGGCCUUGUUAGCGGACGAAGGGGUGUGCUCUUAACUGAGUGUGCUCUGGAGUUUGCGCGUUUACUGUGAACAAAUUAGAGUGUUUAAAGCAGGCGGUUGCCGUGAAUACAUUAGCAUGGAAUAAUAGAAUAGGACUUUGGUUCUAUUUUGUUGGUUUUCUGGACCGAAGUAAUGAUUAAUAGGGACAGUUGGGGGCAUUCGUAUUUCGUUGUCAGAGGUGAAAUUCUUGGAUUUACGAAAGACGAACGGCUGCGAAAGCGUCUGCCAAGGAUGUUUUCAUUGAUCAAGAACGAAAGUUAGGGGAUCGAAGACGAUUAGAUACCGUCGUAGUCUUAACCAUAAACUAUGCCGACUGGGGAUUGGUGGACGUCGAGUUUUGACUCCAUCAGCACCCUAUGAGAAAUCAAAGUGUUUGGGUUCUGGGGGGAGUAUGGUCGCAAGGCUGAAACUUAAAGGAAUUGACGGAAGGGCACCACCAGGAGUGGAUUGUGCGGCUUAAUUUGACUCAACACGGGAAAACUUACCAGGUCCAGACAUAGUAAGGAUUGACAGAUUGAGAGCUCUUUCUUGAUUCUAUGGGUGGUG
rnacentral:rRNA from 1 species